rnacentral:lncRNA from 1 species
UUCUUAUGUCUGUUACAGAGAAUUGCAAUUGCUGAAUUACCACACUUACCACACAUUAUCUGUUCCUAAAUAUUUUAUCAAAAAGGAUGUAGCACAUAUUUCAUCAAAAAGGAUGUAGCACAUCAAUGCUACAAUGCUAUAUGUAUUGUUGUGGGUUGAUUUAUUUAUUUAUUUAUUUAUUUGUCAUCACAAAUUUACAUGUCAAUACUGUCCUUGGCUAGCAACAUAUUUGCUUCUUAUGAUGUCAAGAAGUUCCACAGUGGGACAUGUGCAACCCAUAGCAUCUUGCCAGUUUACCCUAAAGCAUGGGUCAGGAGUUAAUAGGGCACAGUCCACUAAACUGCUCAGGCAGCAUCUUUUGAAUUGACAGAAAAAAGUUCAAUUUACUAAGGAAAACUGAAAUUGAUGGUGGUUUACCUUAAUAUGAUAGUCUGUAAACUGCUGUGGUUCAUUAUUUCAGAAGUAUCUGAGCAGCCUCAGCAGCUGGCUCAGCAGCAGCACAGGACUGGGGAGAGGCCCUCUGUGAGGUAGCAUGGACCUCACAGAGGUCAAACCCAAAACCUUUGUUGCAGGAGACAAGAUCAAAGGCUGGGAGAGUGGCUUGGACUGCAGUGCUAUUCAGGGGAUGAGUGUUUUUGCAGUUGAGAUUUUGGGAUUGCCUUUUCUCUGGGACUGAAUUCAAAUGCAAUCACGAAGCUGAAACAGUGCAUCUGUUCCCACUAGUACUGCAGACAUAAGCUUAACAUCUUGAGAAGUCAUGGGAAAAAUAAGCAUUUCCUGGCAAGCACUGUGUGAAGUAACCAUCCUUUUGGCAAAGAGAAGCUCAGCUUAUACCAAAAUGGAUGUCAUUUUCAAGCUAUGCAGUGGGAUGGUCUGGCAAGAAACUGGACUGGAUUACCUCUUGGUUAGGUCUUUUAACAGAACUUCUAGUGUUUACAGGGAUUUCUUCAUUUGUAGACCACUGUUGGUGAUAAAAACCUUUAGUCACUUGGGAUCUCAUCUGCCUAAACCUGUCCUGAGGAGAGAAGCAUGA